rnacentral:lncRNA from 1 species
CCUUUAAUUUUCUUAUGAAUUUACUGCGCUAGAGACGUUCAUUCCUUAAAACGCAUUGACUGGGGUCGCGCUUGGCUCAGGGCGCUGUCCCAGGCUCCUUGUCGCCCAAGUAUCCCAAAGCUCCCAUCCCUGCCCGCGCGGCCGGGUCAGUGAGCCCGCGCUGUUUGGAGGACGCCCAAAGAUUGCUGCAAGCGAGGAAGGCAUUCGGGCUCCCGACUGGAGUUCCAGGUCCUGGAAGAACGACUGAGAGUUGAAAGGUUACGCUCCAGGCCGGGGCUCCAUCGCGCGUUUGCAACCAUCAGACAGAGGGCCCAGACAGGAUCUUCCUAAGACGGACUGCCUCAGCCCCCAUAACUAAGCUGUGAAAACACUCUCAGUUUUAGGAGCAGAAUGGAAGUCACUCCAUCAGAAUAAAGCGUUUGUGGAGCUACGCUGGCGAUUCCUAAAACCCUGAAAAUCCUCUCUCAGGACGGCGAAUUGAGGUUGUUCUCUCCGUGCACAUUUGCGCAGUAGAAAUGGAUGGCUGGUUCGCUGAUCUGUCCGCAGCAGCAAAAAAAAAAAUCUUUAACAAGGGAACUUGAAAGCCCAUCUGGAAUUCUGGAAGGAGGCAGCCUCUUGUGGCUCCCAUCUGGCAACAUAGAGCAACUGCUGCCAAAUAGGAAUGGAAUUGUGGCAGAUUUAAGAUGCUGACAAAACAAAUUCUGAUUCUAAGCGACUUGGCCAGAUUCCUAUCUACAGAUCAACCAGGAUUUUCUGGCAAGAAUUUGGAACUGAUUUCAUGCAGCCCACCGGGCAGACUUUUACACUGUGCUGGAAAUUGGAAGUCGCUGCUUUUCAGCAAAGCAUUGCGCAAAGUCAGGCCUGAUCAACUUGUGUAAAAGGUGAGGCAAAGAGAGCAUAGAUUUUAAGGGCAUGGAUCACAGACCUGGG